UUUUCCUGCCCAGACUCUGACCAAAAUAAUCUCCAGCCCAACUGCUAACCCUUCUUCAGGUUUUCUGCUUCAGAAGCUCUCUUAGAAUGAAGACACAACGCCACACAUCUGAACAGGAAUCUGCAAGCUGGCCUUCACCCACACCUGCUCCUGCUGCCCCUGGGUUUCCCCAUCUCAGUGAAGGUACCCCAGUUCUGCAAGGUGGAAAGCUGAUGCUGUCUUUGAUUCCUCCUCCUCCUCACCCCCACCUCAUCAAAACCUGCCCACGCUAUGUCUAAAAUAUAUCUCACGUCUGUCCUCUUCC
ensembl:lncRNA novel transcript